rnacentral:rRNA from 1 species
CCGGGGCUUAGUGCCGGAGCUAACGCAAUAAGCACUCCGCCUGGGGAGUACGACCGCAAGGUUGAAACUCAAAGGAAUUGACGGGGGCCCGCACAAGCGGUGGAGCAUGUGGUUUAAUUCGAAGCAACGCGAAGAACCUUACCAGGUCUUGACAUCCCGAUGCUAUUCUUAGAGAUAGGAAGUUACUUCGGUACAUCGGAGACAGGUGGUGCAUGGUUGUCGUCAGCUCGUGUCGUGAGAUGUUGGGUUAAGUCCCGCAACGAGCGCAACCCUUAUUGUUAGUUGCCAUCAUUAAGUUGGGCACUCUAGCGAGACUGCCGGUAAUAAACCGGAGGAAGGUGGGGAUGACGUCAAAUCAUCAUGCCCCUUAUGACCUGGGCUACACACGUGCUACAAUGGUCGGUACAACGAGUUGCGAGCCGGUGACGGCAAGCUAAUCUCUGAAAGCCGAUCUCAGUUCGGACUGGAGGCUGCAACUCGCCUCCAUGAAGUCGGAAUCGCUAGUAAUCGCGGAUCAGCACGCCGCGGUGAAUACGUUCCCGGGCCUUGUACACACCGCCCGUCACACCACGAGAGUUUGUAACACCCGAAGUCGGUGAGGUAACCUUUUAG